AUUGAACGCUGGCGGCAGGCCUAACACAUGCAAGUCGAGCGGAGCGGCGGUCGGGUGAGUAAUGCCUAGGAAUAUGCGUGGGAGCGGGGGAUAACGUCCGGAAACGGGCGCUAAUACCGCAUAUUAUAAGAUGAGCCGAGGUGGGAUUAGCUAGUGGGGGGGGUAAAGGCCUAACAAGGCGACGAUCCAUAACGGGUCUGAGAGGAUGAUCAGUAAACCUGGCACUCAGACACUGUCCCGACUCCUACGGGAGGCAGUAGUGGGGAAGAUUGGGCAAUGGGCGAAAGCCUGAUCCAGCCAUGCCGCGUGUUUGAAGAAGGUCUUCGGAUUGUAGAGCACUUUAAGUUGGGAGGCGUUACCAUCAGAAUAAGCACCGGCUAACUUCGUGCCAGCAGCCGCGGUAAUUC
rnacentral:rRNA from 1 species